CCUAGGCACACAGCCUCCAAGCAUCUGGCGUCCCCCGCCCCCAAGGGCAGCAGCCGGAGUAUCGCCCCCUGGUGUUGGCCUUACCACCUGGAGUUUCCUCGACGGCUUAUAGCCCACCUGCUCUCCCCUCUCGCCCUAACACUCCUCCGAGUUUCCUACUGCUAGGGACGUGCAAACCUGUCCUUUGGAGGCUUAAAACUCUCCGAGGGCCCGAGGGGCUGUCCUUCUGCUCUCUGCCUAGGGAGCAGAGGAACACAUCAGGUGAAGACCAACCAAGCUUUGGAGCAGCUCUGAACACAGAACAGGGUCUUGAUUCUCAGCUCAAAGGCCUGGUCCUUCAGUCUGAGGAAUGGGUGGGUGAAGACGGUCAGGCCCAGAGGGAUGAAGUAACAGCUUGACCAGAAGUGCAUAGAAAAUGCUGUUUUUUCUGGAUGAAUAACCCACAACCUGUCCACUCAAAGAAAAUCUUAGAUGUACCCGAGGCUCAGUCAUCUGACGCAUCAGCAAUAGGAAGCCCCCUCAGAAUCAACUCCCCGACUAGGACGGUCCUCCCACGCGUCUUCAGCCCUGCAGUUUCCCCUCAACUCGUGCCAUGCCUCCUUCCCACUGCCUAUAAAAGAUCCUGUUAUGGUUUGACUCAAA